UGUGAGCUAUUCUCCUUAAGAAUGAAAGAAGUUUCUUUUCCACAGGUGGAAUUGAAAGCAGUUUCUCCUGCAGAGAGGGAUUUGCACCCUUUGGAGGAAGCUCAGCAGCAGUGUCUGGGCUCAGUUUGGAGGAGAGCCUUGAAUCCACAGCAGUGAUUCAUUGUUGGCCACUCACAUGCAGGAUGGAGCUCUGGGAAAGGACACAGGUUUGUCUUGGCUCUGUAAAAUCCCCCAAAGCCAGCACAAUUUUCACAGCCAUUAUCUGUGGGGGGAACCUUCUCACCAGGUGCUUGGAGGAUUGUAGAGAGUUUGACUCAGUUGUUUCCUACAGAUUUCUACAAGAAAACACAGACAAAGCCCAGCAUGUGUGA
rnacentral:lncRNA from 1 species